rnacentral:rRNA from 1 species
AGCGAACGCUGGCGGCAGGCCUAACACAUGCAAGUCGAACGAACUCUUCGUAGUUAGUGGCGGUCGGGGGGGUACCACGUGGUAACUUGCCUUUUGGUUCGCUAUCACUCACGGUAACUUGUGUUCAUACCGCUGGUGCUCUUCCGGGGUAAGAUCUAUUGCCAUUUGGGCGGCCCGCGUCUGAUUAGCUAGUUGGUGAGGUACCGGCACGUCAUGGCGAGGUUCAGUAGCUGGUCGGUGAGCAGGACAAGCCACGCUGGGACUCAGGCACGGACCAGACUCCGACGGAAGGCAGCAGUGGGGAGUCUUGCGCGAUGGGCGAAGGCCUGACGCAGCCAUGCCGCGUAAAUGAUGAAGGUCGUAGGAUUGUGAAAUUCUUUCAGCGGAGACGAUAAUGACGGUACCCGGAGAAGAAGCCCCGGCUAACUUCGUG